GACGAACGCUGGCGGCGUGCUUAACACAUGCAAGUCGAACGGACAGGCCCUGCUUUUGUUGGUUUCUCGUUUGGCGAACGCGUGAGUAACACGUGAGUAUCCUGCCCUUGUCUUUGUGAUAACUUCACGAAACUGGGGCUCAUACCGGAUAUGAUCUCCUGCUGCAUGUUGGUGGUUGGAAAGUUUCGGCGGUUGUGUAUGUACUCGCGGCUUAUCCGCUUGUUGGUGUGGUAGUGGCUUACCAAGGAUUUGACGGGUAGCCGGCCUGAGAGGGAGACCGGCCACAGUGGGAAAGAGAUACGGCCAAGACGGCUACGGGAGGCAGCAGUGGGGAAGAGUGCAAGAAGGGCGGAAGGAUGAUGGAGGAACGCCGGGUGGGGGAUGACGGCUUUCGGGGUGUAAAAAGCGUGCGACUGUGAAGAAGCGUGAGGGAGGGAAAUGGGUAAGAAGCAACGGCUAACUACGUG
rnacentral:rRNA from 1 species